rnacentral:rRNA from 1 species
GCCCUCCGGUUGAUCCUGGCGGCGAGUGGCGGACGGGUGAGUAAUACUUGGGGAUCUGCCUGAUGGAGGGGGACAACCACUGGAAACGGUGGCUAAUACCGCAUGACGCCUACGGGCCAAAGUGUGGGACCUUCGGGCCACACGCCAUCAGAUGAACCCAAGCGAGAUUAGCUAGUUGGUGAGGUAGUAGCUCACCAAGGCGACGAUGCGUAGCCGACCUGAGAGGAUGAUCAGCCACACUGGGACUGAGACACGGCCCAGACUCCUACGGGAGGCAGCAGUGGGGAAUAUUGGACAAUGGGCGCAAGCCUGAUCCAGCAAUGCCGCGUGUGUGAAGAAGGCCUGCGGGUUGUAAAGCACUUUCAGUGGGGAAGAAAAGCCGCGGCUAAUACCCGGCAGUCCUGACAUUACCCACAGAAGAAGCACCGGCUAACUCCGUGCCAGCAGCCGCGGCAAUACGGGCUAGAGCGGCCGCCAC